rnacentral:rRNA from 1 species
UACGGAGGGAGCUAGCGUUGUUCGGAAUUACUGGGCGUAAAGCGCACGUAGGCGGCUUUUUAAGUCAGGGGUGAAAUCCCAGAGCUCAACUCUGGAACUGCCUUUGAUACUGGGUAUCUUGAGUAUGGAAGAGGUAAGUGGAAUUGCGAGUGUAGAGGUGAAAUUCGUAGAUAUUCGCAAGAACACCAGUGGCGAAGGCGGCUUACUGGUCCAUAACUGACGCUGAGGUGCGAAAGCGUGGGGAGCAAACAGG